rfam:Vitis vinifera, whole genome shotgun sequence of line PN40024, unoriented chromosome 10, chr10
UUGCAUAUUACAGGGCAAAUUAUCUUUUGGCAGGCAGCCACUUAGAGACACAGCCAAGCCAUGCAUUCUUGUAGUGUGCCCUCUGCCAAAGGAGAUUUGCCCGGCAAUUCUUCU